CUACAUUGAACUCAGGUUUCGUUAGCAACGGGCUGUGAUGAUUAAAAGAACAAGUUCGUUGUCGACGAAACCUGCAUGCUAUGUGG
rnacentral:pre_miRNA from 1 species